rnacentral:rRNA from 1 species
UACGUAGGGGGCAAGCGUUGUCCGGAUUUAUUGGGCGUAAAGAGCGUGUAGGCGGCUUCACAGGUCCGCUGUGAAAACUCGAGGCUCAACCUCGAGCUGUCGGUGGAAACCGUGUGGCUAGAGUCCGGAAGAGGAGAGUGGAAUUCCCGGUGUAGCGGUGAAAUGCGCAGAUAUCGGGAAGAACACCCGUGGCGAAGGCGGGUCUCUGGGAAGUAACUGACGCUGAGAAGCGAAAGCAUGGGUAGCAAACAGG